GCCGGGGUGGCGGAACUGGCAGACGCACAGGACUUAAAAUCCUGCGGUCCUUAUAAGACCGUACCGGUUCGAUUCCGGUCUCCGGCACCA
rnacentral:tRNA from 1 species